rnacentral:rRNA from 1 species
GUCCACGCCCUAAACGAUGUCUACUAGUUGUUGGAGGAGUGAAAUCCUUCAGUAACGCAGCUAACGCGUGAAGUAGACCGCCUGGGGAGUACGGUCGCAAGAUUAAAACUCAAAGGAAUUGACGGGGCCCGCACAAGCGGUGGAUUAUGUGGAUUAAUUCGAUGCAACGCGAAAACCUUACCUGGCCUUGACAUGCCACUAACGAAGCAGAGAUGCAUUAGGUGCUCGAAAGAGAAAGUGGACACAGGUGCUGCAUGGCUGUCGU